rnacentral:rRNA from 1 species
GACGAACGCUGGCGGCGUGCCUAAUACAUGCAAGUUGAGCGCUGAAGGUUGGUACUUGUACCAACUGGAUGAGCAGCGAACGGGUGAGUAACGCGUGGGGAAUCUGCCUUUGAGCGGGGGACAACAUUUGGAAACGAAUGCUAAUACCGCAUAAAAACUUUAAACACAAGUUUUAAGUUUGAAAGAUGCAAUUGCAUCACUCAAAGAUGAUCCCGCGUUGUAUUAGCUAGUUGGUGAGGUAAAGGCUCACCAAGGCGAUGAUACAUAGCCGACCUGAGAGGGUGAUCGGCCACAUUGGGACUGAGACACGGCCCAAACUCCUACGGGAGGCAGCAGUAGGGAAACUUCGGCAAUGGACGAAAGGCUGAACGAGCAACGCCGCGGGAGGGAAGGAGGGUCUCGGAUCGUAAAACUCUGUUGGUAGAGAAGAAAGUUGGUGAGAGUGGAAAGCUCAUCAAGUGACGGUAACUACCCAGAAAGGGACGGCUAACUACGUG